UACGUAGGGGGCAAGCGUUGUCCGGAAUUAUUGGGCGUAAAGAGCGUGUAGGCGGUCCGGUAAGUCAGCUGUGAAAGUCAAGGGCUCAACCCUUGAAUGCCGGUUGAUACUGUCGGGCUAGAGUGCGGAAGAGGCGAGUGGAAUUCCUGGUGUAGCGGUGAAAUGCGCAGAUAUCAGGAGGAACACCGGUGGCGAAGGCGGAUCUCUGGGCCAUUACUGACGCUGGAGGAGCGAAAGCGUGGGGAGCGAACAGG
rnacentral:rRNA from 1 species